CCUACGGGAGGCUGCAGUGAGGAAUAUUGGUCAAUGGACGAGAGUCUGAACCAGCCAAGUAGCGUGAAGGAUGACUGCCCUAUGGGUUGUAAACUUCUUUUAUAUGGGAAUAAAACGUUCCACGUGUGGGAUUUUGUAUGUACCAAAUGAAUAAGGAUCGGCUAACUCCGUGCCAGCAGCCGCGGUAAUACGGAGGAUCCGAGCGUUAUCCGGAUUUAUUGGGUUUAAAGGGAGCGUAGGUGGAUUGUUAAGUCAGUUGUGAAAGUUUGCGGCUCAACCGUAAAAUUGCAGUUGAAACUGGCAGUCUUGAGUACAGUAGAGGUGGGCGGAAUUCGUGGUGUAGCGGUGAAAUGCUUAGAUAUCACGAAGAACUCCGAUUGCGAAGGCAGUUCACUGGACUGCAACUGACACUGAGGCUCGAAAGUGUGGGUAUCAAACAGGAUUAGAUACCCCAGUAGUC
rnacentral:rRNA from 1 species